UUCCAUCUGGAAGAAUCUGGAGACAGGUGCUGCAUGGCUGUCGUCAGCUCGUGUCGUGAGAUGUUGGGUUAAGUCCCGCAACGAGCGCAACCCUUGCCUUUAGCUACCAGCACGUUAUGGUGGGCACUCUAAGGAGACUGCCGGUGACAAACCGGAGGAAGGUGGGGAUGACGUCAAGUCCUCAUGGCCUUUAUGACCAGGGCUACACACGUACUACAAUGGCCGAUACAAAGGGCAGCGACACUGCGAGGUGAAGCCAAUCCCGUAAAAUCGGUCUCAGUCCGGAUUGGAGUCUGCAACUCGACUCCAUGAAGUUGGAAUCGCUAGUAAUCGUGGAUCAGCAUGCCACGGUGAAUACGUUCCCGGGCCUU
rnacentral:rRNA from 1 species